CGAUGACUAUUGGGACGUGAGCAAGCCUAUAGCCGUGUAUAUUUGGGUAUAUGUACAGUUCCAGGGGCCUCAAGCUUCCAGAUGGAGCUGCGGCACCUUUCGGCAGGCCACGCGAUGACAAUUGGGACGUGAGCAAGCCUAUAGCCGUGUAUAUUUGGGUAUAUGUACAGUUCCAGGGGCCUCAAGCUUCCAGAUGUAAGUACGUGCGUAAUCUUCUCAUCACAUUCGCUACAUUUAAAGCUUUUUCUCACUGUAGCGCAUAAUAACCUCACAUCUUCGCAAUGGACCUUAGCAUGGCUACGUUCAUCUGUUUGCAGGGAGCUGCGGCACCUUUCGGCAGGCCACGCGAUGACAAUUGGGACGUGAGCAAGCCUAUAGCCGUGUAUAUUUGGGUAUAUGUACAGUUCCAGGGGCCUCAAGCUUCCAGAUGGAGCUGCGGCACCUUUCGGCAGGCCACGCGAUGACAAUUGGGACGUGAGCAAGCCUAUAGCCGUGUAUAUUUGGGUAUAUGUACAGUUCCAGGGGCCUCAAGCUUCCAGAUGUAAGUACGUGCGUAAUCUUCUCAUCACCUUCGCUACAUUUAAAGCUUUUUCUCACUGUAGCGCAUAAUAACCUCACAUCUUCGCAAUGGACCUUAGCA
rnacentral:lncRNA from 1 species